rnacentral:lncRNA from 1 species
UCUGAAAAUGCGGUUAGCCUGAACCCGUCGGCCCGUCACGAUCGACUGGUUCGGGAGGGCGGGAAUACGGGAAGACAAAAUCCUUCUUUUUACUACAUGCCUUCCCUUGGUACAAGCUGCCUACAGGGGACAUAAUAUACAGUACCAAGAUCUUAGUGAUGCGUGGGUUUGAAGAGCAGGCUAUAAAUUGUCCAAUGAGCUGGACUUGUUCGAAUAACGGAUCCUCCAAUUUCCUCUAUUCGUCACUCGGUCUCCCCGAGUCUCCACCAGAGAUCAUUUCAUUUUGCAACGGCCCCUCCAAUGAAGAUACCAAGCGUCAAGUGAGUGAUGCCUAUUUGCAUGGGGAAGGCGAAUGUAACAACGGUAUGUGAUAGUGAUUUCGUCACAUAAAUGGUCUAAUCAAAAGAACCGAAGUCAAUGUGAUGAGAAACAUGAGGCUUGAAGAAAAACCACAUUUUCUUUAAAAAUCAUUUGUGCGACGUCACAGCCUCGCCCCUCUCUCCAUUAUUCCUCGCCAAACUGCAGUAGUACACAAAUACAUCAAAUAAUAAGAUACGAAGUUCUUAGGGCUAAGCUGUAACUAACGUUCUUUAGACCUUAGUGUUAUGCAAAGCGGCCCGUCCAACUGCGCAUGCAUGAAAAAAAAAAAUUUAGCUAAAUUAUCGCUACCCAAGAAUAACAGAAAAAAAGACCAUUGAAACUACUACUACCUCGCUAGAAUAAGCGCCUUCCGUGGUGAUUCGGAUCAGGUACCACUUGACAUCAGUAAGCUACGUAGCAGGUACGUUUGAUGGAGCUUCUAGGCCUGUUGCACAGAAUGUCAUAGUCUCCCCGCAAUACUCCGAAACCUUGUUUGAUUUUUUUUCGUCUCUUUUUUCGGAUGAUGGCUGUGGAAUAUCAUGUCAGAUUCAAUUUCAGUAGGUCCAUGAUACAUCAGUCAUAAAAAAAGCCCAGAAAGGUAAGAAUUGAAGGUCGAUUGCAUAUCAUAUCCUGUCAUUCAGAAGAGAAAUAAAAGAAAAAAGAGAAAGAAAGAAACUCCUGAUCCAUAUUCCCAAAAUUGCAUUCCUUCGAUUUCCCAUUGCGCAUAGAGAACGAAAAUAAUCAUAUCGUAACUUCGUGCUGAAAAUCAUUGCCCCAGUUGUUGUUUUGUGCAUGUGUGUAUAAUGUGGAGAGCCGGAAGGAGAAAAACAAAAGAAAUUGUACAGAGGAAAAAAAACGGCCUCGGAAAAUAUGAGUAUGGAGAUCGGCCAUCGCCGAGCCAUGGACAAUACCAGGCGCUCGUUGUCGUCAAGGAAAUAAAACAGAAAUAGAGGGAGGAGAUGUUGGCGGAAAGGUCGUGCGUUCGACGCAUACUUUUUCGCAUCCCGAGUUGAGUAUUCAGCACAUGCUUGCAUCCAAGUUGUAUUCCAAAACAAAAGUAUCAGUACAAGUCAUCUUCAUAAGCGUAGCGUCAAGACAAUUCCGAACAGAUUCCCCCGCUCUGCAAGGGAAUCAUGCGUUGUGUUUAUCGUUCGCAUCAGAUCGCUCUUAAAAUUGACCCGAGUAAUUUGUCUGGGGGACGAAGGGUUGAGGAUCCAACUUCCUGAUUGCGACCUCGGCAGCAUCCUCUUUGGCGUUGUUGAGGUAUUGACCGUCGUACCAGUAUCGAGCGGCGAAACUCCCGCCUCCUACGUUGACGGUUGCUGACCAAGCGGUUCUACCUCCUGGAGAGAAAAGAAAGAGAAACAGAGUUAACGACGUAUCGAGCAUAGAAGAUAGAAAGGAAGAAAGAAAGGAAGGAAGAUCGUACCACGUCGAUCUGACACGAUAUGGAACUCGGGAGCUGCCAAUCCGUUUUUCGAGCAGUGGUCUAGAUGAAGAGUUAAUGUUAAUAAGGUGGAACCAUCGAAGAAAAAAGAUGAGUUCAAGUAAAUCAAUGCGAACCCCCUAGCAUCUUUUGCCAAUUAGGCAUUGCUCCCUGGCCGCCAGCAGUCGAAGUAGACAUAGUAAUGAGAUCGGAUUCUCUUGAUUCGAUAUAGGGAUGUAAAAAUGGAAAGUGACUUGGGAAAAGAGGAGAGCGAGGCGAUGUUCCCUUCCCAGCAAGUGUGAUCUGAUUGGUACCAAGAUUGACCCUUUGUUGUAAAUGACGGGAAGGUGGUCAACACACUUUCAAAUGGCAAGACACGACUAGAUACAAAUACAAUAAAAAGUCGUGUUGUCGGAGCGGGAUAGACAGCACAGCAAGACGGCAACUUAUAGGUAGUGGAUUCCCCUUGAGGAAGGCUUGGUUCUAGUCAAAGUAGGAGGAAGAGGAGAGAGAAUAAAAAUAUAUAUCCUACACAAAUGAGUGACAGGAGGGGAAGGUCAUAUUAAAUGCCAUUGGCAUGUCACCAGAAGAGAAUUGGAGGAGGAGGAUGGAUGUAUGUAUUGAAUGGUUUGCAGAUGGAUAACAUCGGACAUUUGCCCCUCUUCAUGUACAAGUUCGGCGGAGAGAGAGGGACCAAUAUGCAUGAAUAAGAGCAGGAUCUGUAUGUGUGGAUGAAGCCAAGUAGCCUCCCAUUUAAAAAAAAAAAAGGGCAACAAUAGAGAAAUUAGGCGUGUGAGUGUGUGAGGAAAGAAAUAAAAUAUUGAAAAACAUGUGUGAAGUGACAAGCCAGAAAAUGAAAUGCCCCUCCAGAUGUUGUUGUCAUCCACUCGGUUAGUGGCUAGGGUUGCUUUGCUUUUGCAGCACAUCAAAAUAAUCAAUAAAAAUCAAUAAAAUAAAUAAAUCAAAAACGAGGAACAUGCGGAUCAUAGGAAAAGAGGCUGCAGGCAGGGGACGGCCCGUCGCACAUUAGGUACCUAGGCAAAUUGCCUGACCAUUUAUAGACAGACGUUUAAUACAUCCUUAGGCCUUGAAGCGGCCGACUCUUACGAUUAUGCACAAGCCUGGGGCCGUGAUCGAUCGGUAGGGAUGUUAAGCUGUAGGGGUAAGAAGGGUCUUCAUUAGGGAGGGAAACAAUUAAGGCAAGUAAAGAAAAUGAAAAAGCAAAUACAUAUGAUGAUGAUGAUGAUGAUGUCUACUCUACAGAGGAGAGGAACCCAUGGAUGAGGGGCAUGAAUUGGUUGGCCGAGAAGAAGGGAGACAAGAGGAGUGGAGGAGAAAGAAUAGAGGGUCCAAUUAGCCUACAGACAUGUUUGGUUUAUUUCCAGCGAUAGCUGUCAAGCCAGUGAACGUGGUUCUAGCAAACUGGUUAUCGGAUUUGACAUGCAGAUAGAAGUGGAUAGGGAAUCUUGAAGAGAAGGGGAAAGGUUGGAAAAAAUGGGGCAAGAAACAGACGAACAUCACGCGAAAGCCUAAAGGCGGAGUAUUUCCCGGGACCUGCUGACGAAUCAUUUUAUAAAUAACGCGAAGGAAUUUAUCAUUUGAUGGGCACAUAAAAAUCAACUUGAACUUGAUAGGAAGGAACUUGACCUGGACCCGUCCUGACUUGACGCCUUGUUGCACACUCCCCUGUCCAGCCAGUUGGGCUCCGCGGUAUGUAUACCUAGGUCAUCCACGCUGGCCCAGACAAUCGCCGGAGAACCAAAGCGGCCAUUACCCAAUUUGCAAUUUUCAAUGGAAGAAAAUCAACAACGGCACAUACUAGACAUGUAUUCAUUCAUCCCAUGUGUGUACACAGUACAAACAUAUACCUACCUCCUUCACUAACCACACACAAAAAUACUUCCAUGGGUAUGUACCAUACCUGACAAUAGACAUGGGGCAUUUAUGCAGAAAAGAAAAUCCAACGUCGGGCAAGGGGGGAAAGGGGGGGGGGGGGGCCAACAGCCCUUUUCUCUUUUAAAAGAAGAUUAAAAAAUCGCUGAUUGGCUGCUUUACUUUUAUUUAUUCUAUUUUUUCAAUCCUGUCAGAGUCUGCCCUUGCGCACACUUUGUUGGCGGCUAUUCGAUGUAGCACCACUAUCCGCACUAUGUUGGCACCAUUUUGGGCAUUCAUACCUGCAGAUAUUCGGUCUAUUGAUAGGAAUGACAUUUUCUUGUGGGGGAUUUUUUUUCUUUCUUUCGUCGACUAGCUUCUCAAUAAACAUAUAUGUAUAUGUAAGGCGGAAAUAGUGAGAUUUACCGCAUCAUUAUGUAGCAUUCUUCUCUGCGUUGGUUUUCUCUAUGUUUGAACCAAGAGUGAAAGCAAGCAAGAAGGGCCAAAAAAUUGCCUAAAUCGGAACCUGCCUUUUUCGGGGGGGGUUUGCCUCUUUUCGCCUAAGCCCUAACUUUAUUUGGUCAGUACCAGAACAGAAGGGAAUUGGGGGUCUG